rnacentral:rRNA from 1 species
UACGUAGGGGGCUAGCGUUGUCCGGAUUUAUUGGGCGUAAAGAGCGUGUAGGCGGCCAGGUAGGUCGGUUGUGAAAACUGGAGGCUCAACCUUCAGAGGUCGACCGAAACCAUCUGGCUAGAGUCCGGGAGAGGAGAGUGGAAUUCCUGGUGUAGCGGUGAAAUGCGCAGAUAUCAGGAAGAACACCCGUGGCGAAAGCGGCUCUCUGGAACGGUACUGACGCUGAGACGCGAAAGCGUGGGAGCGAACAGG